rnacentral:misc_RNA from 1 species
UCUCCGUUGGUGAACCAGCGGAGGGAUCAUUACCGAGUUUACAACUCCCAAACCCCAUGUGAACUUUACCAAACAUUGCUUCGGGGGGAUGCCCCGGUCGGGGGCCGCAAGGCCUCAUCCCCGUAACCAGGCGUCCGCCGGAGGCCCAAAACAAUCUCUUGUUUUUGUGGAAUCUUCUGAGUAGCCUUUAAGACAAAAAAUUAAUCAAAACUUUCGACAACGGAUCUCUUGGUUCUG